rnacentral:rRNA from 1 species
UACGUAGGGUGCGAGCGUUAAUCGGAAUUACUGGGCGUAAAGUGUGCGCAGGCGGCAGAGCAAGUCGAGUGUGAAAGCCCCGGGCUUAACUUGGGAAUUGCGCUCGAAACUACUUUGCUGGAGUGUGGCAGAGGAAGGUGGAAUUCCACGUGUAGCGAUGAAAUGCGUAGAUAUCUGGAGGAAUACCGGUGGCGAAGGCGGCAUCCUGGACCGGCAUUGACGCUGAUGAGCGAAAGCUAGGGGAGCAAACGGG